UCUUUCAGAAAGGAAUUCAUCAAAAGGGGCUCCAGAGUUAUUGGGAACUAAGGGAAGUAAUUCAAGGGGAGACUUGCGCCUCCUGCAGUCUUACCCACAGCCAGCCCUUGCCUGGGCCCUUGACAGACGGGAUUAUUUGGUGAUUCUCAGAUGUCACCAAAUGGACAGGCACCACUCAGAGAAAAAGAAUCCUGCAGGAGCGAAGGAUCAGGGAACUCAGUGGCUGCUGUUUAGUUUUAGCCUUGUGUUCCUGGGCACGCUGAGCUGACUGUGCUUUUAAUUGUUCUUACACGAGCACGCACACCAGUUCGUUUCCGGGUAAGAGCCCGCUCACCCGGAAGCACAAGCCUUGAGCGAGUCCCACAGCUGCCGAAGCCCGGGGCGGACCACGUGCGCUCUCCAGACAGGCCCGGCUAGAGGAGGAAGCAGGGACUCUGGGCUCCUGCUUCAUUCUGGCCUUGCUGAGGACAAGGCUGGACUUCAUCCACGGCCGUCAAGAGAGCGAUGGGACAUUGGAGACCCAGGGGGCAGCUUCUGGUUCCACUGGAAUCAACCAUUUUGCCACACUGCAGUCUCCAGGCACGGGUGCUUGGGGUGCUUUUCUCGUGAUCCUGUGGAAGAGCCUGGUUUCCACCGACAAUGCUAGUUUUAUACAAUUUUAUUUUAAAAUUUGUAUAAUUUUAAAAUAAUUUGCGUUGUAAACAUCUAAAGGACAAAGGUUUGAUAUCAUACCAUAUACGUUUUUGCUUUACAACUUUCUUUUUCGGGAAAAUAAAAUCUAACAUUACAAACCUCUUGAAAGAGGAGAAAUAUUAGAGAAACAACCAACCAGUUAGUUAAUGUGUUUGAUAGCUAAAUUCAGUUCCAUGGCAGCCGAGGAAACAAGAAAACCAUGCCGAGUGUUAUGUUUCUCAUUUCGUGGUGGUAAGGGAAGGCUGGCAUGGUUUUUUAAAUAAAACAUUUUUGCCCUGGCUGGUGUGGCUCAGUGGAUUGAGUGUGGGCAGUGAACCAGGGGGUUGCCAGUUCGAUUCCCAGUCAGGGCACAUGCCUGGGUUGCAGGCCAGGUCCCCAGUAGAGGGCAAGUGAGAGGCAACCACGCACUGAUGUUUCUUUCCCUCUCUCUUUUCCUCCCUUCCCCUCUCUCUAAAAAUAAAUAAAAUAUUUAAAAGAAUGAAUGAAUGCAACCAGAAACUUAAAAAAUAAAAUAGA